UACGGGGGGGGCAAGCGUUGUUCGGAAUUACUGGGCGUAAAGGGCUCGUAGGUGGCCAACUAAGUCAGACGUGAAAUCCCUCGGCUUAACCGGGGAACUGCGUCUGAUACUGGAUGGCUAGAGAUUGGGAGAGGGAUGCGGAAUUCCAGGUGUAGCGGUGAAAUGCGCAGAUAUCGGGAGGAACACCGGUGGCGAAGGCGGUUCUCUGGGCCUUACCUGACGCUGAGGAGCGAAAGCGUGGGGAGCGAACAGG
rnacentral:rRNA from 1 species